GGGGGUGACCGGCUUUGACGGUCUGUUCAUUGAAAGAUGUGCGACGCCGUGCAUUCCCGCCCAACACGUAAAACUGGCGGGAAACCAAUACUUGCAAACAAACUUGUUGCAAGCGUGAAGUCCCCAUACUUCGGUAUGAACGACUUUGCGUUCGCGUACGCUCGAGCCUAACGGUUCGCGCCCGCGACGUCUCACUCUCCUUGGUGUCUGCAGCAGGAGAGCGGGGCGGAAUCAUCUGCAGAAUCGACGCCCGGCCUCCCGUCCGGCGCGUCUAAAUAAGGGAUCGGGCAGGAAUGGUUUCGUCCGCGUUCCUCGCAUCCUGCCUUAAUCCGCCUACCGGCGGAUAACGCUGACUAUGCGUCGUAGACUCUCUUUCAAUCACGGAUUCGGACCGGAGUUCAACUCUCCGCACCUCCACAA
rnacentral:tmRNA from 1 species